CACACAGGCUCGUUUGAGCUGAGAACACAGCGACCAUCUCCAACCUCUCCAGCUCCUGGAUGUGGAAACUGAGGGCAAAGCAUCCCAGAGAAGCAAGUGUUUCCAUCCAAGCAGAAUGAGGACAGCCUUCUAGUCCUAUCAACCAUCGCUUCCACCCCCUCCCUUGGCCUUCCCUCACCACCACCUCAACAGCUCUCAGUGACUGAAAGAGAAGGAAACCUUUCCUAGGACCACUUAGCUUAUGCCACUGGAUCUCCUGAAGAAAUCGUGCACUGGUUUAUACAUGCCCGGCAACUGUCUAUUUAAAUGUAGUUUUCAAAUAGUUUCCCUAGGUAACCCGCCAGCAGAGGAGUCUGUUGGGGCUCACAGGGCUGCAGACCUGAGAGAGAGACAGGACAAAGGAAGAAGUGGCUUCCAUCCUGGAACAAUCUACAAAAGCACGUGUGCUCUGCAGAAGCUGUGGAGAAUUUCCUUCAUACCACUUCUCUGCCCUUACUGUUUGUUUCCUCAAAUGCUCUUCCUGUGGAGGUAGUCAUGAAGAACCAGGGAUGAACCAGCCCCAGGCCCAAGAUACUUCACAGCUCCCUAAGCCCCACCCCCACUGUUUUGAGGCUCUCUCAUUCAGAGGGGGACCCUAGGUUUCUACCUUACUGCUGAAGCCCGGAGCUCUCAUUUAUUCUUGUUCUUUGGCUCCCUAGACCAUUGUCCUGCAGGCACAAGGGGC